rnacentral:rRNA from 1 species
UACGUAGGUGGCAAGCGUUGUCCGGAUUUACUGGGCGUAAAGAGCGCGCAGGCGGUCGUGCAAGUCGGGUGUGAAAGCCCCCGGCUCAACUGGGGAGGGUCACGCGAUACUGCUCGACUUGAAGGCAGGAGAGGGAAGCGGAAUUCCCGGUGUAGUGGUGAAAUGCGUAGAUAUCGGGAGGAACACCAGUGGCGAAGGCGACUACCUGGCCUGUUCUUGACGCUGAGGCGCGAAAGCUAGGGGAGCAAACGGG